CAAUGUGUCAUUCAAAGCCACUCUUUCUUUAUUGAUAUUCUGUUUGGAGGAUCCAUCCUUUGAUGUAUUGCUGCUGAUGGUAUGAUUUUCUGCUGCCAAAAGAACUGACACACAUGACAGAGUCAAAGAGGAAACAAAAUGGCUGCAACUAUUCCAGGCUUGAAGACCAUCCCAGGCUAUCCAGAAAGAAAGAGUGCUGACAUGUCAGCGUGCCACGUGAGAAUGCUAACACUCACCUUGAUUGGACUGGUUUGGGUCAUGUGUUUACUUCUAAGCCUUUCUAUGUCCAGGGGGAUUAAAUAUGCCAUUCAGGGCACAACCUUGAAGUUGAGCUGGAUGUUAUUCACCUUCCUCUAAAGCACACAGGCUGUGAGUGAGGUAUAUGCUCCAAUAAAAUCCUGGAUACCAUUUGGAAGAGAGGAAGAGAGAAUAAGGGCUAAUACAGCCUAAAAUGUGUGGUUUGGGGUAAGUUACUUCCC